rnacentral:tRNA from 1 species
GGGCUAUUAGCUCAGUUGGUUAGAGCGCACCCCUGAUAAGGGUGAGGUCCCAGGUUCAAAUCCCGGAUAGCCCA